rnacentral:misc_RNA from 1 species
GAUAGGCUUUUAUCGUUCCUCUACCGGCGACCUUCCUAAAGACACACCGUGCCGUGAAAUAAUAGCACGGUUCAAAAUAGACGGAAAUCAGAGGUCAGAUUCGAGAAGCAGGAAAAGAAGAGGAAUAGAGAGCGAAAGAGCGAUGUUGCUAAUCGCAAGAGGCGAGUGACGUCUCCGUGGAAUUCCAGGGAAUCGGAGGAAAGCGCGGUGACGUACGAACUGGUGCGAAAGAGGAAGGAUCGGAGAAAGAACGAGGGAAGAAAGGGCGAGGAGGAGGAGGACGACGACGAGGAGGAGGAGGAGGAGGAGGAGGAGGAAGAAGAAGAAGAAGAAGAAGAAGAAGAAGGAGAAGCAAAAGUUGAAGCAAAAGAGGUAUUACGAAAAAAGGCGAGGACAAGAAAGAAGGAAUACAAGGAGAGACAGAAAGAGAUAGGGGAGUAAAUGCAGUGAAAGAAGGAAAGGAAGGUGAGGAAGGCGGUGAAAAGAAAGAGCACAGGUAGACAGGUAGAACGUAAGAGGGAGAUAGGAGCGAAGUAAGAGAAGGAAUAAGAGGCGGUAUAAGGGAAGAGGAGGAGGGGAGUAGCGCGAAAGAAGAGAGGGAGAAGAAGAGGCGCGUGGUGGUCGUGAUGGUGAGGUAGUGGACGAGAGCGAGCGAGCAUCCAGAUCUGUCGCGUGCUGCGUCGCUCUGGGAUGGGACGGAAUCGGGACGACACGGUACGAAGCAGAACGGGACGAAACGGGACGACGGCUACUACUACAACUACGAGGACGGG